CCUACGGGAGGCAGCAGUGGGGAAUAUUGCACAAUGGGGGCAACCCUGAUGCAGCGACGCCGCGUGGGUGAAGGAGUAUUUCGGUAUGUAAAGCCCUAUUAGUAGGGAAGAAAACUGACGUAACCUGACUAAGACGCACCGGCUAAAUACGUGCCAGCAGCCGCGGUAAUACGUAGGGUGCAAGCGUUAUCCGGAUUUACUGGGUGUAAAGGGAGCGCAGGCGGCGCGUUAAGCCUGGUGUGAAAGCCCGAGGCUCAACCGCGGAACUGCAGUGGGAACUGGCGGGUUGGAGUGCAGGAGGGGUAGGCGGAAUGCCUAGUGUAGCGGUGAAAUGCGUAGAUAUUAGGAAGAAAACCAGUGGCGAAGGCGGCCUACUGGACUGUGACUGACGCUGAGGCUCGAAAGCGUGGGGAGCAAACAGGAUUAGAUACCCUAGUAGUC
rnacentral:rRNA from 1 species